CGCACAUUGCGCCCCCUGGUAUUCCGGCGGGCAUGCUUAUUCGAGCGUCAUUUCUAUCCUCAAGCUCUGCUUGGUAUUGGGCGGCAAGCCUCUCCUCCCCAGGGAGGGGGGGCUCCCCCGAAGAUUAGCGGCGGACCGAUCGGUGUCCCAGCGCAGUGACUUUUUUUUUCUCGCUGGUUAGAUCACCGGGCGGCUCCUGCCGGGCAAACCACCAAAUCAUUUUCUUAGCGAUUGACCUCGGAUUAAGUAGGGAUACCCGCUGAACUUAA
rnacentral:misc_RNA from 1 species